AAGACUCCAAAGUGUUGCAUAGUGCUUUUUUACAACUGCUACAUAAAAAGCAUUGUGGGUGUGACAUAUUUCACAUCAAAAUGAUAUCUCAUCAUGCUGAAGUCGCAUUGGCUUGCUGAGGUGUAAGGUAAAAUUUUAAGCAAUGCGCUGCAAGAGAAAAGGUCAGGUGCCUCAGUGCCCCCCACCCACGGAGAGCAAUUUGGACACCCACAGCUGUCUGACAGAGCCAGGAUGAUGUCAUCCAACCAGGAAAACCCCCAAAACCACAGUGACAUCAAGAUCCUUUCAACAAGGGCAGCAGUGUGGUGUCAUAGUUCCAUAUGCACUUGGAUUCUUAUCCCAUGGGGGGAAACCUUACCUUGGAUCGGGACAAGUGUACUGCAAUGCCACUUUGCACUGGGGGUGCCCAAAUUCCGAAGUCGGGCGGAAAAAAAAACAUCACCAACUGGCUUCAACAAUGGCGAGCCCUGUAGAGACACAGCAUGUGAUAAGGCAAAACAUAAUUUUCAAGCUGGAGUCCCUUCAGCGAUGCAGCUUUUUUGCAUCAACCUCUUGGACACUUAAGGACUGCCCUACGCUCAUGUCGCUGUCAGAUUAUUCACCUUGCUCUCGUGCUUCGUAAAAGUGCAAUUCUCUAAGUGCUCUCGUUCUUGUUCUGUGUUCUUCGCAUAGUCUCAAUUAUUUGUAUUUUUCUGAUUCAAUUUCUUAUUUAUAGACUAGUCUGUUUUGUGUUUCAUUUGGUGUUGGAUUUACUUGUCCUUUUGAGAAGCAAGUUACAUUGUUUGUUUUUGACUUGCCUUGUCCAUACGCUUUUUGUCAUCCACGGUUGUCCUGGUCCUGUUGGCUAGCGACCUUAUUUGUAUUUUGUUGGUCUUGCAUACUUUAUGGUAAAUAAACUUUUUUGUGAAAAGAGAUCUUCAUUCUUGUCUACGUUUUUGGGAUCCACCCCUUUUCGGAUGAUUCCGUAACGUGACACCCUGGGAAUGCUGUAUGACGCGGCUUUGCAAGAGGGAACUCUAGGCGUUCCUGCUUAAAUUUCUGCUCCCGUGACCCGACUCCAAAUAGGUGGGAGAAAAUGGAAAGCUGGAUGAAAGAUUUUUUAU